UUGGAGGGCAAGUCUGGUGCCAGCAGCCGCGGUAAUUCCAGCUCCAAUAGCGUAUAUUAAAGUUGUUGCAGUUAAAAAGCUCGUAGUUGAAUUUCGGGAUCAAAUUGUCGGUCGUGCCUCGGUACGCACUGGUAUUAUUGGUUCCUACCUUCUGAAGAACCGCGAUGUCAUUAAUUUGGUGUCGUGGGGAAUCAGGACUGUUACUUUGAAAAAAUUAGAGUGUUUAAAGCAGGCUUACGCUUGAAUACAUUAGCAUGGAAUAAUGAAAUAGGACGUUUGAUUCUAUUUUGUUGGUUUCUAGGAUUGACGUAAUGAUUAAUAGGGAUAGUUGGGGGUAUUAGUAUUCAAUUGUCAGAGGUGAAAUUCUUGGAUUUAUUGAAGACUAACUACUGCGAAAGCAUUUGCCAAGGAUGUUUUCAUUAAUCAAGAACGAAAGUUAGGGGAUCGAAGACGAUCAGAUACCGUCGUAGUCUUAACCAUAAACUAUGCCGACUAGGGAUCGGAUGAUGUUAAUUUUUUAAUGACUCAUUCGGCGCCUUACGGGAAACCAAAGUGUUUGGGUUC
rnacentral:rRNA from 1 species